rnacentral:lncRNA from 1 species
AUACUUUAAAAUCUGUGCAAGGGCCUUGUUGGGUCCUAUCCAAAAUGGGCUGAGUAAAAUUGGUUUAGGGUAUUACAUUCUUUCCUCUUAAAAUAAAAUUUCAUCCCAAAAUUUUUUAUCAAAAAUUUUCAAACUUUAAAGUUUCAUAAUCAUGAUCUCGUUUCCUAUAAGAAUAAGGUUCAAUACUUCGUGACUUGAUUCUUCUUAUAGAUCAUUA